AUCAUCAUCCUCAGCCGUGGGGAGGAAGGACACGGCCUGACACAGGCUCAGACAGCACUCGCCGCUGGUGCCGUGCUUCACUUUAGUUGCAUUCUAGGACAGCACAGGAAAGAGCCUGAGUUGUCAACAUCAUUAGUGCUGUGCAUAAACACUUCACCUGCACGGGAUCACUUUGACCUUCAGCGUUGUUGUGGGAGUAGCGCUGACCAUCUGGACAUGAGGCACUUACAGAGCUGGUGAUAGCACAGGGCUCUUGCAAGUACUCAGACACAACAUGCAGGAUCUGUGGAACUUCUUCUGGAACAGCCAUGCCCUCUGCUUCCAGGAUCUGCAUACAGAUCAGGGCAAAAUCAGGAUGCUGCUUUAGGCAAUGGUAAAACUGGAUGAGGGCUUCGGUCUGUCUGCCCAUUUCAAGAAGCACAUUCCCUUUACGAAAGAAGCCCUACAAAACAGAAU